GCUCAGAUUGAACGCUGGCGGCAGGCCUAACACAUGCAAGUCGAGCGGAUGAAGAGAGCUUGCUCUCUGAUUCAGCGGCGGACGGGUGAGUAAUGCCUAGGAAUCUGCCUGGUAGUGGGGGACAACGUCUCGAAAGGGACGCUAAUACCGCAUACGUCCUACGGGAGAAAGCAGGGGACCUUCGGGCCUUGCGCUAUCAGAUGAGCCUAGGUCGGAUUAGCUAGUUGGUGAGGUAAUGGCUCACCAAGGCGACGAUCCGUAACUGGUCUGAGAGGAUGAUCAGUCACACUGGAACUGAGACACGGUCCAGACUCCUACGGGAGGCAGCAGUGGGGAAUAUUGGACAAUGGGCGAAAGCCUGAUCCAGCCAUGCCGCGUGUGUGAAGAAGGUCUUCGGAUUGUAAAGCACUUUAAGUUGGGAGGAAGGGUUGUAGAUUAAUACUCUGCAAUUUUGACGUUACCGACAGAAUAAGCACCGGCUAACUCUGUGCCAGCAGCCGCGGUAAUACAGAGGGUGCAAGCGUUAAUCGGAAUUACUGGGCGUAAAGCGCGCGUAGGUGGUUUGUUAAGUUGGAUGUGAAAGCCCCGGGCUCAACCUGGGAACUGCAUUCAAAACUGACAAGCUAGAGUAUGGUAGAGGGUGGUGGAAUUUCCUGUGUAGCGGUGAAAUGCGUAGAUAUAGGAAGGAACACCAGUGGCGAAGGCGACCACCUGGACUGAUACUGAC
rnacentral:rRNA from 1 species